CGGUGGCGUGUCCGAGCGGCCAAAGGAGCACGCCUCGAAAGCGUGUGUGGGGGCAACUCCACCGUGGGUUCAAAUCCCACCGCCACCGCCCA
rnacentral:tRNA from 1 species